rnacentral:rRNA from 1 species
CCUACGGGUGGCAGCAGUGGGGAAUAUUGGACAAUGGGCGAAAGCCUGAUCCAGCCAUGCCGCGUGUGUGAAGAAGGCCUUCGGGUUGUAAAGCACUUUCAGUGGGGAAGAAAGCCUUGGGGCUAAUACCCUCGAGGAAGGACAUCACCCACAGAAGAAGCACCGGCUAACUCCGUGCCAGCAGCCGCGGUAAUACGGAGGGUGCGAGCGUUAAUCGGAAUUACUGGGCGUAAAGCGCGCGUAGGCGGUCUGAUAAGCCGGUUGUGAAAGCCCCGGGCUCAACCUGGGAACGGCAUCCGGAACUGUCAGGCUAGAGUGCAGGAGAGGAAGGUAGAAUUCCCGGUGUAGCGGUGAAAUGCGUAGAGAUCGGGAGGAAUACCAGUGGCGAAGGCGGCCUUCUGGACUGACACUGACGCUGAGGUGCGAAAGCGUGGGUAGCAAACAGGAUCAGAUACCCGGGUAGUC